AUGAACUUUGAGUUAUUUGUUUUGUUUACGAGUAGCGCGUAAUGUUUGUAUGCCGAUAGAAACAUAUAUUUAAAACAACCGAGUGACGGGGUUGUCGUAGGCUGUAAUUGGAAGAUGUCUCUGAUAAAUUUCAGUAGUGAACGAGAGAGCAACAAGCGACGAGAGGAAAUACGGACGGCGAGAGAAAGAACUUUAAAGAAGGCAGAGGCAGAGUUUUACCAGAAGAAGUUGGAGGAGGAGAGGAGGAGGCAGCGGGGUGACGACAAGUGGAUGGCACCAUCAGUUGAGAGUCGAGUGAGGGAGUCCAGCAAGUCUGACAAACAUAAAAAGUCGAAAAAGAAGAAGGAAAAGAAGAAGAAGGAGAAAAAGAAGAAGGCAAAGAAGAAAAAGCACCAGUCAGACAGUUCCAGUUCGGACAGUGAUGGAGAGGAUGAUGACGAAGCGUGGGUGGAGAAGACAGAUGAGAAGAAAGAAGAUUGUGGUGACAGAACUGUCAGAAAGGAUAAUGUGCCUCAGGAAAGAGACGCAUGGAUGAUCCCGACUGCUGACAUUUCGAACCUGCUAGCACGUGGAACGGACAACACUGACAUCCGUGGAGGCAUCAGAGAAAAGCCAGAUAAUGACAGGCUGAACCUCGAUAUGAUGGGACAGAGUUCACGAGAGCUGAACCCGUACUGGAAGGAUGGUGGGACUGGCUUGCCAGAAGACCAGCCCCAGCGGAGGGAGCCCGCGGCCCGACAGAAGAAAGUCGGAGACGGUGGAGCAGAGUGGCUGCGGCACGCACUGCGGCGGGCCGAGGAGCAGGCGGCAGCAGAGGGCCGGCCACUGGAGGAGGUGGCCGCCGAGCGCUGGGGGUCUCUGAGACACCUGCAGGACAUGAUAGCCACAGCAGAAGGGCAGAGGGACAGCGGUAGAAGGCGACCGGCAUUCAGGAGGCCCGCCGAGGAUGGCAGCUUGCCCAGUCCUGUCGGGGACCGGAGAAGGAUGGAGGAGCGAGGGGGAGGGGAAGGGGGCCACCUGAGUGGCGCCGACAGCCACAGAGAGCGCCGGGGCAGCCCGGACGGGCGGGACAGUGACAGGCGUAGAGACUCUGGGAGGUCGUACGGGCACAGAGAUCACCGCCGGCCUGAAAGAGCAGCUUGGAAAAAGUCUGACGUGAGAGUCGUGGAAGAGAAGACGAGGGGCAGAAGUAGUACUCCGACAAAUGCUGAAAAGACCACACGGAAACAAGCAGGCAGCAGUUCUGACGGCUCUUCAUCGGAGUCUGCAGAAGAAAAGGGAGAGCCGGUGGGCACUGGAGCCCCACUCACUGAUCUGGAGAUGAACGAGCUGGCAGCCAAGCUGGUCAAAGCAGAAAUCCUCGGCAAUGAGGAGCUCGUAUCUCAGCUGCGAGCAAAGCUGGACGCAGCCCGUGCCUCUCGCAAAGCUGGCGAUGACGACAAGCAUGGCCGAGAAACGCGGGAGGAGGAGGAGAUUGUGGUGCUCACCAGGACAGAUGCCAAGGGCAAUGUGCGGCCCGCAGCUGCCCCCAGUUUCGCGCUGGACAGGGAGGCCGACCUAUGGGGAGGUCGUCGAGGCAGGAAAGCGAACAAGAAGAAAACACACGAUUCCAAAGGACAGCGUGUUCAGUAUUUUGCAGACGACUCAAAAUUCAGUCUGCAGGACCUGUACCAACGCGAGAAAUUCAUCUCUGCAGCAGACCAGCAGGCAGAGUUUGUGAAGCUCUCAGCAAAGGGAGUGGAGGGUGGAGCUGCAGAGACGGGGCGGCCGAGUGCAGAUGCGGAACACCGGCGUGCCGUGUCGGACAGCAGGUGGGUGGCGAAGGCCCUGGAGAGCUGCCGCUGGUGCCUGGGCGGCCGGCAGCUGCAGAAGCACCUCAUCGCCGCACUCGGCGACCACGUGUACCUGUGCGUCCCACCUCAUCGCUCAAUAGUGGAGGGCCACUGUUUGCUCAUUCCAUCUCAACACGUCUCCUGCUCGACACAGCUGGAUGAAAAUGUCUGGGAUGAGAUGCAGAGAUUUCGCAAGGCCCUGGUGGCGAUGUUUUUGGGGCGAGGACUGGACGUCGUGUUCUUUGAGACGGCAGUACACCUGAGCAAGAUGCCUCACAUGGUGCUGGAGUGCGUCCCAGUUCCAAAAGAGGCAGGCGACAUGGCUCCUGUCUACUUUAAGAAAGCCAUCAUGGAGUGCGAGAUGGAGUGGUCGAUGAACAAGAAGCUGGUGGACCUGGACGGCAGCAAGAAUGUUCGGCGUGCCAUUCCCAGAGGACUACCCUACUUUUGGGUGGGGUUUGGCAAUGAAGACAAGUUUGCACACAUUAUUGAAGAUGAGAAGCAUUUCCCCAAGAAUUUUGCUCAGGAAAUAGUGGGUGGCAUGCUGGACAUAGACCACAUGCUGUGGAGAAAGCCAAAGAUGGAAAAUUUUGAUGCUCAGCGCCAGAAGGUAAUGCAGUUAGUUCAAUGGUGGAAGCCUCAUGACUUCACACGAGGAACAAAACGUUCUCAUGACAGCAGUUCAUCAUCGCCAUCAUCGUCAUCAUCAGACUCUGAAUGAUAAACUGUAAAACAACGUCAUGAUAUGGCUGAUGUCUCCAGAUUCUCAUCUCGGGGUCAUUAUCUUGAGAGGAACUGCAGUGAACUCUCAAGAGUUCAUCCAGAGUUCUCGCAUUUGGGUUAUGGAAGAGGAUGUAAGAUACUGUAGAGAGCAUAAAAGACUACACAAGUCCCAUGUUUACCUCUAAAGAUGUGCAGAUAAUAGUGCAUAAAUGCCUCUGUUCCACCAAUGAACCAGCUACUACUAACAUUCAGAUACUUUGCCUCUGGUGAUUUCUUUCUGUCCAUUGGAGACUUUGUUGACAUUGACAAGGGGACAGCCAGCAGGAUUAUUAAAAGUAUGUGUAUGUCAAUGGACAACAUGCUCAAGAGAGAGUUUUUUUAAUUAUUUCAGUUUUCCAUUGUAAUUAAAUGAAAAUAAAAUAAACAAGUGUA